AGCCUCCCUCACAAGUUCCUCCGAAAAGACCAUUCAGUCAGUGUAAUUAUUUCUUUGUAGAAAAGUUCCUAAAAACAGUUUCCAAAGAUUUUGCUUUUGGCCGGGCUUCCUGGCCCAGCAUCUGUUGCCUGAUUGAAUGAGAGCAACCCUUUAAAAGCCUCUCUUCAUAACAGGAAACCGCUCUCCCUGUUUCCUGCACAACAGGCUACACUUCCUUGGCAACAGAUGGGAAAGGUUGGCGACGUUAACCCCUUGAGCAAUCUCUCUCGGAGAUGAUUGAUCGAUGCUUUACGAAGGUCUGAUUGUUCGAGGAACAGGCAAACAUUGACCUGCUUCACCGGAGGACUCGUGGCAGGCUUCAAGGACACCUUGUGUUACUCAGGUCGAUCUAUGCGGCCGAACUGCAACAUGGGAGAUGAAGUGAAUACCCUUUGGGCAGCGGGAUGAAGUUAAAGAAUUAGCUCAGCUGUAUUGGGCUUCGGGCAUGACUGCAGGAGACACAAUACAUCCUCCUUCAAAUUCCCAUUCCAGAUGGUUUGGUGCGGUGGGGAUUAAGUUAAGCUCAAUCACAAAGGGGGUGUGCAAAUAGAUCCCAUCAAGCAUAUUGUGUCACAGGGCUGAGCAAAAGAAUGGCUGCAGGAGUAAAUACCCCUCCAGAUGUGGCACAGACGGUCAAAACAUGUUUUUUUGGAUAGAGGACACAAAUUUCCUGGACCGCCCGUGUCUGCGCUCCGUCACUCCACCUGGAACAUGACAUGACUGAAAUAGAGGAGAAUUGUGAUAUGAGGAAAACAUGUUGCGGCGACACGGAACAACCCGACUGUAUCUCCGCUCUGCUCAGCGGCCCUCUGCUCCAAACAGGAAAGGGAUCGGGGAAAAGGGUCAGCGACUUGUUCCCAGAACUGAGACAAUCCAUACCUGCUUUGCCAACGCUAGACUGAAUGGAUUUGCUGAGUGUUUUUAUUCCCCAGCACAAGUGUGACAUCACACUUUUUUUUUUUUUAUUACAGGAAAGCGCAUUCUCGCCCGUGUUGCACAUUAUAGGCUUCUUGCCAGGUUUUGAUUUCGAAUUAAUAUCUAAGCCGGAGGUACUUAAUCAAUCCCUUAUGCAAAUAGCUGAAGUGCAUUAAGAUCAGGCACUGAUGUAUGUGAUAGUACAAUCAGGUUGACUCUUUAAAGUGACCUGACCGCCUUUGUAAUUGGAUGGCAAAAGCCUUUGACUGCUGUAAUGGAUCGGCUCAUUAUUGACAUGUUUUAUUGAUUUCCAACCGCAGCGCUCUACUCAGACGCGGGUGUUUGCCCUGAGAUGUAUAUUCUGGUAAAGAUACUUUCCACCUGAGGAUAUGCUUAUGAA